GGAUAAUCCUUUGCUGACUGCAUCAUAUAGCAUAAUAUAUCUGUUGUUAUUCAACGCUGUAGCUAUAACACUAUCAAUCGCUAAAAUGCAUUGCUUGAACACGGUUCUCAUAGCGUCAGUCUUGGGUGGCAUGUUAAAUGGCAUUACUUAUGGGAAGUACAUGGAUAAGCAUGGGGUACACCGUCGUAAUGCUGAUGUGAAAUCGAUGGAAUAUUUCAUCCGCAUGGCAAUGAAUCCAGACCCAGACUGUCUGCACGACCCAGCGUGUGGUUUAAUCGACUUGGAAGCCUAUGGUAGGAAAAAGAGAUUAAAUACACAACCUAAUCUUCACCUAAACACUGCUACGCUGUUGGAUCCGAAUGAACAGUAGAAGGAUACUGAUCCCAGCGCUGCAGUUGCAGAAUAACUUAAAUACAUGUAUAUGCUACGAUAUAAUAAUAAAAUUUUGACACACGG
rnacentral:sRNA from 1 species